rnacentral:tRNA from 2 species
GUUUAAAUGGUGUAAUAUAAACACUUAACUUUUUCAUUGUUAAAUUCCUUUUUGGUUUAAAUU